GCGCGGUUAGUCAAGUGGAAUGACGUCAGCUUUCCAAGCUGAAGGUCGCGGGUUCGAAUCCCGCACCGCGCA
rnacentral:tRNA from 2 species